CGGUGCUACGCUUUUAGAACAAUGCAUCGGAGCAUUCAAAUGUUACCUACUAUAAGUUGCCAAAAGACCAAGCAGUGCGAAGCUCUUGGCUGACAGCGACAGCGGUGCUUGCUAAGUAUUUGGAAUCUCGGUACGAAAUCGUCUGACGAAAAUCUGAGAUGCCUGACUCACAAAUUUUGAACGUGCCACGGAGGAUCAAGGCAAAAAACGAGAGCAAAAAGGUGCACGCUGAAGCCGGAAAUGAAGUACCAUGUGGCUUGCAGCUGGUGCAUGAAGAAAUUGCUGACACGUUAGUUGCAGUCUAGCUGCCACGAACAGGGUGGAAAACAAAGGUCACCAUUCUGUUUAGCUGCUAUUUCCCAGUUCAAUCACUUUUGCUGUCCGGACACUGGUUCCUGUGGAUGGGGUGUUACAAGCUUCACUGUCUGAUAUAGAAGUGGUGAGCAACCGUAAGGACACAUGCAAGAAUGGAAGUCUCUUUGGGAUGACAAACCCUCAUCACCCCAUGAGGAUACAGUGGUUGAGGAAUGGUUCAUGUUCGCAAGCACAUGGAAACUUCAAGAAAUAAUUCAUGAAAAAGCCAGUCAGUGCUAGCACCAGGAAUUGAACGUGGACCGUCCUGCUACCAGUCAGAGAUGUUAUAUUUCAGGCCGUCUUGACUUUUGGUUAAUUACUUGUUGAU